UUAUACUUAGCAUAAGUACGCUUUAUACGGGAUCUCCGUAUAAAAUACACUUGUGGUAAGUAAGGAAGAUCCUCAGUGUAAGAAAACUAUAUUAUCAACUGAAGUAAACUUUGUAAUCUUCUUUUAUUAUCUACCUACUUGAGAUAAACAAAAUACAUUGGCUCACAUUAUACUGAUUCCAAGUAGAAAGACUACUUAAAUACAAGUACUUUAUUUUCAUAAAACUUGUAUACUUAUUACUUCUUCAACCGCUUGUAGUCUACUCAGGAGUGGUAUAUUCUGUAUUUAGACUCAGUAUUUUUUUUAUUCAUUUUAAAACGAAGUUUUACUGAUUCCAGGUACUUUCUUUACCUGCCUUUCGAAACUUUUUUACCUAUCACUUUUAUACUGGGGACAAGUAAAUUCUAUAAUUCGCCACCGGAAAAAAUUUCUGUCAGUGUAGAGGCUUUGUUUUUAUUUUGAAAAUGUCAUUAUAUUAAAAAUACUAUUUUUAUUCAACAUAAUAAAACAUUUAGUUGUAGAAAUAUUAAUAUUAAGUGUAAUAUAUACAUAGUUUAAUCUAGUAAUCAAAACACAGUGUAAUAUCAAUAAUUUGAGGUUAUCAAGCCGAAUGCUGGUAUGUGGUCUGAGGCAAUACGUAUUUGUAGAGAGUACUUACCAAGUCAAGAAGCAGCUUUACGUCGUGAGUUAACACAAAAAAGCAUUGGAAAUGAUAGCACACAAACUCUGAAAGAAGCUGGACGUUGGUUAAAAAUACCGCUUCACAAGUUGCUACAGAAUUAGGAGCUAAAUUAGCUAGUCAUGAAGAACAUGCUUUAGCGGCACAAGUUUAUCUUAUGCCUCAAGAUAAUAGCAUGAAACUCCAUAAAUGUAAAUGUAUUAGUGAAUGUGCUUUCUUUGGCAACAACAAAAAUAGCCUCAGAUUUUUAAAAUUAACUUAUCAUGAUUUGCAAGAUGGUAUAAGCAUUACAGCUUACAGGAUCAAUACGUCAGGCAAAGAAGAAGGUUUUGGUCAGUCUAUUUUACACUACGGUCAAUUAGUAUUUCAUGCUUCUCCAUAUAAUUUUCAGGAUGUAUUUAGCUGUAUGGUAACAGCUAAAUUUACACAUGUACUUCAAAAAGAUGUAUUUCGAGCUCUUUGUAAAUUAUCUAUAAUACGAAAUAAUUGUAUACAAGGAUUUGGUAACGUCUUUGAUAAAGUUUUAUUGUAUUUUGAAAAAUUCUGGUUGAACAAGAUAACACCCAUAAGAUUCUCUGUAAAUAAUUUGGAUGAUCGAACGAAUAAUUGUAUAGAAUCAUACCAUAAAAGAUUAAAUACACAACUACUCAAAAAUCCGAA
rnacentral:misc_RNA from 1 species